AUGAUUACCCAAGAGGUAAAAAGAGCUUUUGUUUCCUCUCAUCGAGAUAGAGGUAGGCAAAAGAGGGAUUUUCGUCAUUUGUGGAUCACUCAGAUAAAUGCAGCUACGCGGAAGAAAUUGAUUCUUAAUCGUAAAAUGUUUGCACAAGUAGCUGUAUCAAAUCCAAAUAAUCUUUACACGAUUUCCAAUAAAAUAAAGAUCAUCAAUUAA
rnacentral:rRNA from 1 species